GAAGGUUUUAGCCAGCAGCGAGUGAAGAAAAUGGCGAUCAUGCAGGACGAAUUCCUCCCCUCGUAGAUGCUGCAAACGCGCUGAAUUUCUUUUAGCCUUACAGUCGGCUUUCCUUUCCACUCUGUUGCACUUUAUACUUCAAUGAGAGAUUCGGAAUUGGAAGCUGUUGCCACCAAAGAAACUGAAGCAUCUUAACAGCCCUCCCUCUGUCUCAAGAUGGAAAAACCAAAAAGCACAGGCUUAAUAGUGGAAUCAACUG